GAGACUGCGGCCACCGAUCCAUUCUCCAUCGUCUCUCUCCUCUCUAGGAAUGACCACUCCGUCUUCCAAAUCCCAUCAACGCCUCUUCUCCGUCUUCCAAAUUCCCCUCAACUAUGUGAGUUCAUUUACAAUCCCUCUUUUUUUCUUUUUUUUUAAACAUAUCUAUAUAUCUGUUCUCUCCCAUACCUUACUCUCUCAACUCUCUCCAGGAAUUCGACUGGGAAGCAGCAGUCAGAGGGAUCGACGUCGCCUGCCAAUCCACAAACCCCCCGAUUCAAACCCAAUUGCAACAGACACUAAUAACGUUCCAUCUUCUUCUACCAAUACCCACAAGAACUCCAGCGUAUGAUCGGAGGGCCGAAUCGAUCGGGAAAUCGAUUAGGACAGAGUCGAGGGUAGUGUACGGAUGGCCAUGGAUUAAACAGAAGUACUAAAAUCCUAGCAGAAGGGUUGCAUGUGGGUAUGUAAUAGUAUAGGUGGGUAGCCUUCCUUGCUAAAUCGUGAUUGGAUUCAGGAAGGAGGUGAUGAUCGUGCUUUUUGAGGGAGCACUUAGAGUUGAAGGAGAAGUAUUCUUGGUAGUGUUUUUUAAUGUGUUUCUGAACAAAAGAUUUUUUCUAAACAAAAAUUGAAUGAUCCUAUUCAAUCAUGUUGCGCCAACAUUUAGAUUUAAUAUGCAGGUAUCCAGAGAUGGAAGGUGGUGGUGGAGGUCAUACUGUUGGCUAUCCUCUUCCGAAUGACUCCCAUUUUAUCUUCUUCUUUUCAUAGUGUUGGCUACCAUACUAACUUUUUUGUUGGUAGCAUUUAAGGUCUACAUCAACUAUGGUGGCUUCGAAUUUUGGUGGGUUGGCCCCUCUAUGUACUGAAUUCGAUAGUCUUUAGUGACAAAUUCUCUUUUGAUUGACUUAGUGAAUGUUUGUGAUUUGAAUAGCUGCUUCAAAACGGUUUUGAUUCCCUAAGUAAUAUUUUUGAUUAAGAGUAAGCAAUUGUAUUGUUGAUAGUACAAGAAACUUUUAUAUCAGGUUAAUACUUUUUAAUAAGUGACUUAUGGCAUGGGCUCAUUUGUUGAGAAUGUGUUGUGAACGUAUUGUGUUAUGUCUUAAGGCACCGAUACAAUUGGUAGGGAUUGAAAAAUUAAGUGUUCUUUAUUUGCUGAUUCAAGCUAAACAGGUCAAUGAAUAUGUUUGGGUUAUUGUGUUCUGCAUAGUUGGAUUCGUUGAGCGGGGGUUGAUAUGUUGCACACGAGUCCAGAGUUUAUUUGCGUGUGCUGACCAUUUGAAGGCACGGUCAGAAG